UACAGAGGUCCCAAGCGUUGUUCGGAUUCACUGGGCGUAAAGGGUGCGUAGGCGGUCGGGUAAGUCUGAUGUGAAAUCUCACAGCUUAACUGUGAAACUGCAUUGGAUACUAUCCGGCUCGAGGAAUGGAGGGGAGACUGGAAUACUUGGUGUAGCAGUGAAAUGCGCAGAUAUCAGGAGGAACACCGGUGGCGAAGGCGGGUCUCUGGGCCGUUACUGACGCUGAGGAGCGAAAGCGUGGGGAGCGAACAGG
rnacentral:rRNA from 1 species